rnacentral:rRNA from 1 species
AUGGCCCUAGGAUGGCGCCACGGCCUCGGGCUCUUCUUCCACAAGAUCCGGUUCGAGGUCCUGGUGUGGGAUCCCGUAGCCGGCCACCAGCACCUCCUGGCCGUCCCCCCGGAUUUCGAGUUCCAGGGGGCCAAGGGUGAUAUCAGCGGGGCGGUGCUUCGCGCCGCCGGAGACGCCGACCACUUCCGGGUGGUCAUGGUAGGCAGCAACGGGAAGCAGCCUAGAACAGUGCUCGCCUGCGUUUACUCGUCGGAGGCCGGCGCAUGGGGCGAUUUCAUCUCGGCGCCGCUUCCACCCGAGGGUUUGUUCAUUUUCAGGUCCCAGCCCGCUGUGCUGGCAGGGGGUUGCCUUCACUGGUCGCUUACCAUGGCGGGUUCGAGAAGUAUCCUCAAGUUUGAUUUGAACAGGAAGAGCCUAGAUCUGAGGUUGCUGCCGGGGGAUUAUUAUACCCCGCUCAGUCCCGUCAAAUUCGCGGUUAUGCGAGCAGAGGGUGGUGGGAUGGGUUUCCUGUUCUUAUUCGGCUUCACCGCCGAAUUAUGGAGUCUGAAUCCCAAUCGCGACGGUGUUAUGAUAUGGGAGCCAGGGAGAAGUAUUGAACUGGACAAGUUACUUCGGCUAAAUCCAGAGAAAGAUACCCCACAUGUGAUAGGGUAUGCGGAGGAAAACAAUGUGGUGUUCUUCUGGACAGUUGUUGGUGUCUUCAUGGUCCAUCUUGACUCAUGGUGGUUCAAGAAGCUCUCUAAGACUAGUCUCGAUUCUUGGUACCAUCCAUUUGAAAUUGCCUAUACUCCAGGCAUGGUGGUGGACAUGAUGGAGCUAAAGUUGUGA